CUACGGGAUGCUGCAGUGGGGAAUAUUGCACAAUGGGGGGAACCCUGAUGCAGCAACGCUGCGUGGAGGAUGACGCAUUUCGGUGUGUAAACUCCUUUUAUAUGUCAAGAAAAUGACGGUAGCAUAUGAAUAAGCACCGGCUAACUCCGUGCCAGCAGCCGCGGUAAUACGGAGGGUGCAAGCGUUACUCGGAAUCACUGGGCGUAAAGGACGCGUAGGCGGGUUGGAAAGUCAGGUGUGAAAUCCUACAGCUUAACUGUAGAACUGCACUUGAAACUUCUAAUCUAGAGUAUGGAAGGGGAGAUGGAAUUAGUGGUGUAGGGGUAAAAUCCGUAGAUAUCACUAGGAAUACCUAAAGCGAAGGCGAUCUCCUGGAACAUUACUGACGCUAAGGCGUGAAAGCGUGGGGAGCAAACAGGAUUAGAUACCCCUGUAGUC
rnacentral:rRNA from 1 species